rnacentral:rRNA from 1 species
UACGUAGGGUGCGAGCGUUGUCCGGAAUUAUUGGGCGUAAAGAGCUUGUAGGCGGUUUGUCGCGUCUGCCGUGAAAAUCCGGGGCUCAACCCCGGACUUGCGGUGGGUACGGGCAGACUAGAGUGUGGUAGGGGAGACUGGAAUUCCUGGUGUAGCGGUGAAAUGCGCAGAUAUCAGGAAGAACACCGAUGGCGAAGGCAGGUCUCUGGGCCACUACUGACGCUGAGAAGCGAAAGCGUGGGGAGCGAACAGG